UACGUAGGGGGCAAGCGUUGUCCGGAUUUAUUGGGCGUAAAGAGCGUGUAGGCGGCCAGGUAGGUCAGCUGUGAAAACUGGAGGCUCAACCUUCAGACGUCGACGGAAACCGUAUGGCUAGAGUCCGGAAGAGGAGAGUGGAAUUCCUGGUGUAGCGGUGAAAUGCGCAGAUAUCAGGAGGAACACCGGUGGCGAAGGCGGGUCUCUGGGCCGUAACUGACGCUGAGGAGCGAAAGCAUGGGGAGCGAACAGG
rnacentral:rRNA from 1 species